GUGCUAUCUUCAAUAUCACAUAUACUAAAAUUGGAAUAACACAGAGAAGACUAGCAUGGCCUCCAUGACAUUUGUGAAAUGUUCUCUACUUUU
rnacentral:snRNA from 1 species